UACCAGCACCCCGAGUGGUCGGGACGAUUAUUGGGCCUAAAGCAUCCGUAGCCGGUUCUGCAAGUCCUCCGUUAAAUCCAGCUGCUCAACAGAUGGGCCGCGGAGGAUACUACAGAGCUAGGAGGCAGGAGAGGCAAGCGGUACUCAGUGGGUAGGGGUAAAAUCCGUUGAUCCAUUGAAGACCACAGUGGCGAAGGCGGCUUGCCAGAAUGCGCUCGACGGUGAGGGAUGAAAGCUGGGGGAGCAAACCGG
rnacentral:rRNA from 1 species